CCUACGGGAGGCAGCAGUGGGGAAUAUUCGGCAAUGGGCGCAAGUCUGACCCAGCAACGCCGCGUGAAUGAAGAAGGCUUUCGGGUUGUAAACUUCUUUUAAGAGGGAAGAGCAGAAGACGGUACCUCUUGAAUAAGCAACGGCUAAAUCCGUGCCAGCAGCCGCGGCAAUCUGUAGGUGGCCAGCGGUGUCCGGAUUUACUGGGUGGACAGGGCCUGCAGCCGGGAAGACCAGUCAGAUGUGAAAUCCCUGGGCCCAACCCCGGAACUGCAUUUGAAACUGUUUUUCUUGAGUACCGGAGAGGUCAGCGGAAUUCCUUGUGUAGCGGUGAAAUGCGUAGAUAUAAGGAAGAACACCAGUGGCGAAGGCGGAUGACUGGACGGCAACUGACGGUGAGGCGCGAAAGCGUGGGGAGCAAACAGGAUUAGAUACCCGUGUAGUC
rnacentral:rRNA from 1 species